rnacentral:rRNA from 1 species
AUGGCCACCUCAUCGUGUUGUGCUAUAUGUGGAGGUGAGGACUCAUGGAUGCACUCACUUAUCACGUGUAUGGCGAGGUGCGUAUGGGCGUUAAGCGAUCCGGAGCUCGUGGAGCACCUGCUAGCCAUGGCUGAACCGGAUGCAAAAUCAUGGUUAUUUAGUAUGCAGGAAUCAAUGCCCCACGACGAGUUUGUCAAACUGACGUUCACACUUUGGGCUAUCUGGUCGGCGCGCAGGAAGGCAAUAUCAAAUCCGAGGCAAGCUCCUGUUCAGGUACGGGCGUGGAGCACUCCACCUGCGGGCCAUCAUAAGAUAAAUGUAGAUGCAGCCACUUGUAAAAACCCGCAGGUAGGAUCAAUCAGCGCUGUAUGUCGUGAUGAGCAUGGUACUUAUGUUGGCUCUUCGGCAUUGGUCUUUCACGGACUCACGGACCCGACAACAUUAGAAGCUCUUGCUUGCCGGGAAGCCACUGCUUUGGCCAAGGACUUGAUGAUCACUAAAAUUUGUGUGGCCUCGGAUUGCCUCUCUGUUGUCAACGAUAUUCAUACUGGAACUCUUAGGAUUAUUGCACCAAUUGUGAAGGAGAUCAACAAUAUAGCUACAGAUUUCCUCUCCAGCUCUUUUAUUCAUGAAGGACGUCCCUCCAAUAAGGAGGCCCAUAGUUUAGCUAGGCAUGCUUUACAUCUAGAUGAAGGUCGUCAUGUGUGGUUUUUAAACCCUUUUGAUACUUCUAUUAUCCCUGUAUAA